rnacentral:lncRNA from 1 species
GAGACUCUUGUUACUUCCUGUGGAACCCGUGGAUUGGAAGGUUAUCUAGGCUGCUGCAGAACUCUUCCACCCUGUGCACAGAGAAGUACAUAAAGUGGGAUCUUUCUCAGUGGAGCAGUAUAUAAAACAGAUGCAGACUGAAGGAUGUUAGAAGCACAAAGAAGGUCAUGUGCACGACAUUCAGCUGAGUACAAAAUUCAACAUCUGGAAGAGGUUAAAGACUACACCUGCAGGUUUGUUGCAUGAGUAAAUUCCUGAUUCUGAGGCUUGGAGUUACAAUGAUCCCAUUACUCAGGCAGUGAGAAUAUUACCCAACACGUAGAUCUUCAAGGCUCCAGAUUGUUCUACUCCUGAUGUCAGGAGGAAGCUGAUUUACCUUUGGAAUGAGAUAACCUCUGGGAUCCCUGAACAGUUAAAGGGCAGACGGAAAUAAGGCUUGGCAAUGAAGAUGGACAAGGAACAUAUGCCAGUGCACAUCUAUUAUAAGCCAUUUAUCCCAGACUGUGAUGCAAGUGUGCUUAAGUCUGAAAUGCAAGUGACUCGUACUUACAGGCAAAAUACAUUCCAGCUGAGGAAAAAAGGAUUUUUGUUGCUGAUUUAAUGGAGUGACAGCCUUUCAGAAGUCUUUAAAUUCACCAUUUUCACUGAUGUCACCCUGUUACCAGAAAGGAGUCCUAAUUCUGACCCCAAGAGAAGGUCCUUAAAUCUCGUGCAAGAAAGAUUUCAGGAUUCAAAGAAUUAGCUGGACUAUGUCUCCAGGUGGAUGACUCUAUGGAAACUUUGAGCUGUAUGGAACAACCUCCUGAUCAUCCAUUUACCUUGCUUUGGUACAUUAGGACUUUAAUAGAAACUGCCUAAUGUGCAGGUAAGUCAGCAAGAAAUGAAAUAUGGGUCAUUAUUCAGUGGUACCAAUUGAGCAGAGCAGCCAAAUGUAAAUCAUUGAGAAAUGGGAAUGGUUCAUCCCGUUUUGCAAUUUGAAGUAAGUCUAAAGACUUCAUGUGGCAGAGAGGUCCCAGGGUUCACUUUGGAAAGCUGAGCAGCAAGUUUCUCUCUUCUAAGGGUCCAUCUGAUACUAACAAUUCUAAUCUCUGGCAAAUGGAAGCACAGACUGUAUUUUUCCCUAUGCUCUCUAAUUGUCUAACAAUAACCUUCAUGUACAUAUGUUAUACUAUGUGACUUUCAGUUUGUCACUUGGGUUUUCCAAACCUCACUUAAUUC